rnacentral:pre_miRNA from 10 species
AUCUGAAUACAAGUCGAGGCACGAACUGUUUUUGGCACUUGUAGAAUUCACUGAAUAAGUGAUGAACAUCAGGGAUUCUGCAAUGCCUUAGACGGUCGGCCCGAGUCAACCUGCGGCAACAG